CUAUAAUGCAAGUCGAGCGAACAGACGAGGAGCUUGCUCCUCUGACGUUAGCGGCGGACGGGUGAGUAACACGUGGAUAACCUACCUAUAAGACUGGGAUAACUUCGGGAAACCGGAGCUAAUACCGGAUAAUAUAUUGAACCGCAUGGUUCAAUAGUGAAAGACGGUUUUGCUGUCACUUAUAGAUGGAUCCGCGCCGCAUUAGCUAGUUGGUAAGGUAACGGCUUACCAAGGCAACGAUGCGUAGCCGACCUGAGAGGGUGAUCGGCCACACUGGAACUGAGACACGGUCCAGACUCCUACGGGAGGCAGCAGUAGGGAAUCUUCCGCAAUGGGCGAAAGCCUGACGGAGCAACGCCGCGUGAGUGAUGAAGGUCUUCGGAUCGUAAAACUCUGUUAUUAGGGAAGAACAAAUGUGUAAGUAACUAUGCACGUCUUGACGGUACCUAAUCAGAAAGCCACGGCUAACUACGUGCCAGCAGCCGCGGUAAUACGUAGGUGGCAAGCGUUAUCCGGAAUUAUUGGGCGUAAAGCGCGCGUAGGCGGUUUUUUAAGUCUGAUGUGAAAGCCCACGGCUCAACCGUGGAGGGUCAUUGGAAACUGGAAAACUUGAGUGCAGAAGAGGAAAGUGGAAUUCCAUGUGUAGCGGUGAAAUGCGCAGAGAUAUGGAGGAACACCAGUGGCGAAGGCGACUUUCUGGUCUGUAACUGACGCUGAUGUGCGAAAGCGUGGGGAUCAAACAGGAUUAGAUACCCUGGUAGUCCACGCCGUAAACGAUGAGUGCUAAGUGUUAGGGGGUUUCCGCCCCUUAGUGCUGCAGCUAACGCAUUAAGCACUCCGCCUGGGGAGUACGACCGCAAGGUUGAAACUCAAAGGAAUUGACGGGGACCCGCACAAGCGGUGGAGCAUGUGGUUUAAUUCGAAGCAACGCGAAGAACCUUACCAAAUCUUGACAUCCUCUGACCCCUCUAGAGAUAGAGUUUUCCCCUUCGGGGGACAGAGUGACAGGUGGUGCAUGGUUGUCGUCAGCUCGUGUCGUGAGAUGUUGGGUUAAGUCCCGCAACGAGCGCAACCCUUAAGCUUAGUUGCCAUCAUUAAGUUGGGCACUCUAAGUUGACUGCCGGUGACAANCCGGAGGAAAGNUGGGGAUGACGUCAAAUCAUCAUGCCCCUUAUGAUUUGGGCUACAACCGUGCUACAAUGG
rnacentral:rRNA from 1 species